UCGGGAAUUUUGGGCAAUGGGCGAAAGCCUGACCCAGCAACGCCGCGUGAGGGAUGAAGUAUUUCGGUAUGUAAACCUCGAAAGAAUGGGAAGAAUAAAUGACGGUACCAUUUAUAAGCUCCGGCUAACUACGUGCCAGCAGCCGCGGUAAUACGUAGGGAGCAAGCGUUGUUCGGAUUUACUGGGCGUAAAGGGCGCGUAGGCGGCGCGGUAAGUCACUUGUGAAAUCUCUGAGCUUAACUCAGAACGGCCAAGUGAUACUGCUGUGCUAGAGGGCGGAAGAGGCAACCGGAAUUCUUGGUGUAGCGGUGAAAUGCGUAGAUAUCAAGAGGAACACCGGAGGCGAAGGCGGGUUGCUGGGCCGACACUGACGCUGAUGCGCGAAAGCCAGGGGAG
rnacentral:rRNA from 1 species